rnacentral:rRNA from 1 species
AAUGAACGUUGGCGGCAUGGAUUAGGCAUGCAAGUCGCGCGCGAAAUGUAGCAAUACAUGGAGAGCGGCGAAAGGGAGAGGAAUACGUGGGAACCUACCUUCGGGCCUGGAAUAGCGGCGGGAAACUGCCGGUAAUGCCAGAUAACGUCCCCGGACCAAAGGUGUGAUUCCGCCGGAAGAUGGGCCCACGUCCUAUCAGCUUGUUGGUGUGGUAACGGCGCACCAAGGCUAAGACGGGUAUGGGGUGUGAGAGCAUGCCCCCCACUCACUGGGACUGAGACACUGCCCAGACACCUACGGGUGGCUG